GCUAACUGGUAGCGAGUUUUUGCUACUGUAACAAUUAAGUUGAAUUUUAAAAUCAUCAAGAUUUCAUUGAUUUUCGCUGCAUAAACUGAUACAAUGGUUAUGCGAGAAUGAGUUUAUCUGUGUCAUAGUCAGGAUUUGUUUUUUUAUUCAGAAACCAGUUUGUUUAAAUUAAUAAAUGAUAUUGAUGGCUGGAGUACAACUAUUUGAACUAGUAUGUGUGGUCAUUGUUACAAGCUGUGUAAUUUCCUUCCACUGCUACAAUGUACAAGCUGAUGGAGAUCCGCCAGAAGAGAUUCUAUCUGGUGGAAAAGAAAAGCGCCCCGAAAGAACUAAUAGCUGGGAUUUUCCCAGAGUCGAGAUCUACGUCUUUGCUGGAAGAAACGCCGACUUGCCAUGUAACAUUACUCCAAAUUAUCCUGAUGACGAGAUAUCCCUUGUACUGUGGUACAACAACAAAUCGCCAUCUCCACAGUACAGCCUAGACUCAAGAAGCGGGAAUUUUGAUCGUGCUAGACAUUGGAAAAGUGACCAGUUGGCAUCUCGAGCCCAUUUUCACAUCCACACAGAACCUGCUUAUCUACAACUAGAUCAUGUAACUUCGGAGGACGAAAGUGUCUUUACGUGUCGGGUGGAUUUUGAAAGAGCCAGGACACGCUACCAGGAAGUUGGUCUAAACUUAAUAGUUCCUCCUAAGAAGCCAGUAAUCAAAGAUGACAAAGGUAAAGUUCAACAGAGUUUAAUUGGACCAUACAACGAAGGUGACCAGCUUAUUCUUGAAUGUGAAGUGGUCGGAGGAAAUCCACGACCUAAAGUGAUGUGGUGGAGAGAAUCCGUGCUGUUAGAUGAUUCUUUCAAAGUAACAGCUGAUCUGGUGGCUCGGAACGUGCUAAGGAUUCCAUCUCUUCAACGUCACGACCUUAUGGCAGUCUUUACUUGCGAAGCGUCAAACAAUGGAUACUCGUCACCUACUUCUACAUCAGUAACGGUGGAUAUGAAUUUUAGGCCUCUUGCAGUGAGCCUCCAAGGAAAAAGAAAGCCACUUUCGGCUGGAAAGUUUGCUCAAAUCGAAUGUCAUUCUGUUGGUUCUCGGCCUCCAGCAGUGAUAUCUUGGUGGAAGGGAAACACUCGAAUGAAAUCUACUAAGUCUGUUGUGUCUGUCAACGGAAAUGCCACCACCAGCAUCUUAGCAUUUAAACCAACGAUUAAAGACAAUGGUCUAUAUCUGUCAUGUGUAGCAGAAAAUCCAUUGAUUGAAGACCAUCGUGUUGAAGCUGGUUGGACACUUAAAAUACAUUAUCUACCUCAACUUUCCCUUCGUCUCGGAAGUAAGUUACGCCACAGCCAUAUUCAAGAAGGAAACGACGUUUAUUUUGAGUGUAACGUAAACGCAAGUCCAGAAACUAAAGAUAUUGUCUGGAAAUUUGAAGGAGAAGAAGUGGAAAUCAACCCAGCGGCGGGAAUUAUUGUUAGCAACCAGACACUUGUUCUCCAACACGUAAAACGGACCGGUAGAGGGCGUUAUACAUGUUCAGCAACCAACAGCGAGGGGCUUGGAGAAAGCAAUCCGGUUUUCCUCAGGGUACAGUACGCUCCUGUUUGUAAGCCGGGUCAGAAGAUUAUUUACACAACGACCGAAAACGAGCCCAUACACGUUACCUGUGACGUGGCUAGUGAUCCAGAAGAUGUUGAGUUCACGUGGAGUUUCAACAAUUCUCACGACAACUAUUACCUGAGUAACUUUAACUUCCACAAAACAAGGAGUACUAUAGUAUACAUUCCAAAGUCAAAGUACGAAUUUGGGAGUCUAUCCUGCUCUGCCUCUAACAGUGUGGGAAAUCAAAAUGUACCGUGUGUGUACUCUAUCGUUGCUGAAGGGCCUCCGGAACCAGUACAAAACUGCACCCUAUUCAACCAAACCCAAAAUGGAAUAGGAAUAGACUGCACAGAUGGAUAUGAUGGUAACUUAAUGCCACACAUUUUCGUGGAGGUUUACGAUAUAAUGACUGGCAGUAUAGUAGCAAAUUUUUCGUCCUUUUCUCUGUCAUUCUUUAUGAGAAGUCUUCCACCUGGUUUAAAUUUCGUACUGAAAAUAUACGUCGUUAGCCAUCAAGGGAGAAGUCAGCCAUUAGUCCUAAAAGGAAGAACGCUACACAUACCCGAAACACAGUCUCGUCAAGGAAAAGAAUGGAAGCUUCUGGUGAAUCCUGUUUUAAUUGCCCUAUUGUUUAUUGUGGUCCUGUUUAUUUUAAUCGCUUUGUGCGCAGUUGUAAUUCUGAAGAGAAGACAAAUAAGCCAACGUAAAGCUAAUCAAGAGCCCGAGGAAAAACUUCCGAAAUAUACAAGUCAUCCAGAAAAGGAAAUCAUUCCUACAGAGGAAUUCGCUAAGGACUUUUAUGAAGAAAAAUGUCCUGAUGUAAUUCCAGCAGAUUCCAAAUACCUGGAAAUUCCUGUCUGUAAUCUCGUCAGUCAAGAAGAGGGGCGAAUUCCAAAACAAAUAUGUACUGCUGCAGGAUCAUCAACCCGAGAUUUCGACGGCAACUUUGAAAUCCACGAAAUACACCCUACUGAAAGUGAGAAUCUUCAGACGAAGAUGUGGAAGGAUCCAGCAUUGCUCGAGGGAAUCUCUUCAGAAUAUUACAGCGGAGAGUAUAUUGACCUUCAAACAGGAUACAGAAGAGACGUGGCUAAGGCCUCAUCCCUAACGUCACAUGAAAGACACUUCAAACAAACGGACGUCUGAGUGCAUUGAAAUUGUGAAAAGUGAUUUAGUGUGCCUUGCCUUUGCUAAGUUGUGUUGGUGAUCGUUCUACUUUCAGUCGCACUAGAUCCAUUCUGUAGAAACAUUCUAUGAAAUGAUUGGCGCGCGGCAUGAUCAGUUAUUCUGGAAAAAAAAACUAUUGCCCUCAAACCCUUUUACUAUUUAGAACUGAGUAGCGAUAAAUAUUCACCGUAAAAUGGCAUUAUGAGGAAAGGCUAGUGAUCAUUAAUAUUAUGUUGAGGUUUCCGCUUCUUGACGAAGCCUUCUUUGAAACUCAGCUGGUAAACAAUUUGAAAGAGUUGGAGGUGUGUGAACGAUCUUUAUGUUGAACAUUGUUCAAUAUCAAGAUAAUUUAAACAAUACUUCAAAUGAAAUUACACCAUUUCACCUCUGUUCUAGACGAGUCUGUUUUUGUUUUAAGGAUGAAAUAAUACGGCGUUUUCUGGCUUUGUAAGUUAAUCUGCUAAUAAUCCCCAAAUGGUACAUAUUUAACUUUAAAAGUAUUGGUAUAAUUCCUGUUAAUAAUUUGCUACACAACUAAAAAUGGUAAUGUUUUUUUUAUUGAUAAUCGCUCACUGCUCUAACCUGUAUCAUUUCAUAACAUAAGCCAAAGUAUAAUGAUUGAUAAUAGAAAAUUUAAGUAGUUAUAACUGAAUAUUUACCUGACUGAAUCUAAUUUAACAUCCUGUGUUCGAACAUUUAUGGUCACUAGUUAAAAUCCGUAAUGUGAAAGCAUAAGUUAUGUGAAUGUGAGCACAUCUUGAAGUUAAUAAGUGAAACAGUUAAAUGGAUUAAUAUCUGAUUAAUUACUGCAACGUAUAGUUAAGAUUUUCUGAUGACACGUCAUUGAGAUAAAAGUAACUGUUGUAAUUGUGAAAUAAAUCGAGAAAACAUUGUUCGUUUGGUAUUUUUUGACAUGGAAAUAAUGACCUUUUUUUCUUUACA
rnacentral:misc_RNA from 1 species